CUACGUGCCAGCAGCCGCGGUAAUACGGAAGGUCCGGGCGUUAUCCGGAUUUAUUGGGUUUAAAGGGAGCGUAGGCCGUGGAUUAAGCGUGUUGUGAAAUGUAGACGCUCAACGUCUGAAUUGCAGCGCAUACUGGUUUCCUUGAGUACGCACAACGUWGGCGGAAUUCGUCGUGUAGCGGUGAAAUGCUUAGAUAUGACGAAGAACUCCGAUUGCGAAGGCAGCUGACGGGAGCGCAACUGACGCUUAAGCUCGAAGGUGCGGGUAUCGAACAGGAUUAGAUACCCUGGUAGUCCGCACAGUAAACGAUGGAUGCCCGCUGUUGGUACCUGGUAUCAGUGGCUAAGCGAAAGCAUUAAGCAUCCCACCUGGGGAGUACGCCGGCAACGGUGAAACUCAAAGGAAUUGACGGGGGCCCGCACAAGCGGAGGAACAUGUGGUUUAAUUCGAUGAUACGCGAGGAACCUUACCCGGGCUUGAA
rnacentral:rRNA from 1 species